rnacentral:rRNA from 1 species
CAAAUUUCUUGCCCUAUCAAGUCUCGAUGGUAGGAUAGAGGCUACCAUGCUUGGUACGGUAACGGGAAUUAGGGUUCGAUUCCGGAGAGGGAGCCUGAGAAACGGCUACACAUCUAAGGAAGGCAGCAGGCGCGCAAAUUACCCAAUCCUGAUUCAGGGAGGUAGUGACAAUAAAUAACAAUCCAGGACUUCGGUCUUGGAAUUGGAAUGAGAACAAUUUAAAUCUCUUAUCGAGGAACAAUUGGAGGGCAAGUCUGGUGCCAGCAGCCGCGGUAAUUCCAGCUCCAAUAGCGUAUAUUAAAGUUGUUGCAGUUAAAAAGCUCGUAGUUGAACCUUGGGCCUGGCUGGCCGGUCCGCCUCACCGCGUGCACUGGUCCGGCCGGGCCUUUCCUUCUGGGGAGCGAUGCCCUUCACUGGGUGUGUCGGGAACCAGGGACUUUUACUUUGAAAAAAUUAGAGUGUUCCAAAGCAGGCCUAUGCUCCAAAUACUUAAGCUUGGGAUAUAGAAUAGGACGUGUGGUCCUA